AGAAGUGGAGUAGGUUUGAAAGAACAAAUUCAAAUAUCAAUGCAAACGGUGGGCAUGUUAUGCUGAAAAGGCUCGAGGGACAAGUCAAGGUACUAGCUAUUUCGUGAGUUCCUCGGGCAAAGGAAAAGACGUUCAAAACAAGUCACAGGGCAACAGAAAAUGGUAUUCUACGUUGUAUUUUCUAGCAAUACAACAAAUUUAUCAUACGAAUAAGGGAGAACCUAGAAAUCCAGUGUUUCGGGUUUAUUUCGAGCGGAAAGUUUCAGAUGCU
rnacentral:sRNA from 1 species